rnacentral:rRNA from 1 species
AUUGAACGCUGGCGGCAGGCUUAACACAUGCAAGUCGAACGGUAGCAGGAGAAGGCUUUCUUUCUUGCUGACGAGUGGCGGACGGGGGAGUAAUGCUUGUGAGUCUGUCUUAUUUAGGGGGAUAACUAGGGGGAACUGUAACGAAUACCGCGUAAUAUCUUCGGAUUAAAGAGUGGGACUUUUAGCCAUUCUCCAUGAGAUGAUCCCAAGUGGGAUUAGUUAGUUGGUGGGGUAAAGGCCUACCAAGCCGACGAUCUCUAGCUGGUCUGAGAGGAUGACCAGCCACACUGGAACUGAGACACGGUCCAGACUCCUACGGGAGGCAGCAGUGGGGAAUAUUGCGCAAUGGGGGCAACCCUGACGCAGCCAUGCCGCGUGAAUGAAGAAGGCCUUCGGGUUGUAAAGCUCUUUUGGUGGUGAGGAAGGCCAAUAUGUUAAUAGCAUACUAGAUUGACGUUACCCAAAGAAGAAGCACCGGCUAACUUCGUG